UCCUCGUUAGUAUAGUGGUCAGUAUCUCUGCUUGUCACGCAGAAGACCAGGGUUCGAUUCCCUGACGGAGAG
rfam:Gasterosteus aculeatus cont1.006469, whole genome shotgun sequence.